rfam:Eggerthella sp. CAG:298, WGS project CBHI01000000 data, contig: 39
AUAAAUCUUCAGGGCAGGGUGAAAUUCCCGACCGGCGGUAACAGUCCGCGACCCUUGUUCGGCGCAAGUCCAACAAGGCUGAUUCGGUGAAAUUCCGGAACCGACAGUAUAGUCUGGAUGGAAGAAGAUCGAU